CCGCGGGAAUACCGGUGGUCCGAGUGGUAGCCGCGUUUAUUUGGUCUAAAGGGUCCGUAGCCGGUCCGGUCAGUCCAUUGGUAAAUCCGCGCGCUCAACACGCGGUCUUCAGUGGAUACUUCCGGACUUGGGACCGGGAGAGGUAAGAGGUACUAUAGGGGUAGGAGUGAAAUCCUGUAAUCCUUAUGAGACCACCUGUGGCGAAGGCGUCUUACCGGAACGGGUCCGACGGUGAGGGACGAAAGGCUGGGGGCACGAACCGGAUUAGAUACCCGGGUAGUCCCAGCCGUAAACUAUGCCCGCUGGGUGUCAGGCAUGGCAUGACUGUGUCCGGUGCCGUAGAGAAGUCGUGAAGCGGGCCACCUGGGAAGUACGGCCGCAAGGCUGAAACUUAAAGGAAUUGGCGGGGGAGCACUACAACGGGUGGAGCCUGCGGUUUAAUUGGACUCAACGCCGGAAAACUCACCAGGGGAGACAGCAAUAUGUAGGUCAGGCUGAAGGUCUUACCUGAAUCGCUGAGAGUAGAGGUGCAUGG
rnacentral:rRNA from 1 species